GCUGAGAUUACUUCCAGAGAAUUAAAAACAUGGAAUGCUGUGUAUUCCUGUAAAAAGGCAUACUUCAGGAUCUUGAACAUUAUGGCAGCACUGAAAAUGUGAAUCUCUAGGGGUCAGGUGAGUAAAAUAAAAAAAAGCUAAUGAACUCCUCUAACUUUCAGCUGCCUUUAUUCAGGUAUAAUCUUGCAGUUCUGAAUGCAUGUUGUAACGUUACUAAUUGGUGUAGUAAUGUCCCUAGUUCGUAUAAUACUGAAAGGGCAUCAUGCAAAUGUUGUGUAUAUCGUGAUUUUAUCCUGAAGUGCUUUACUGGAAUGGAGGAGAGAUGAAAAGAAGAAAGACAACAUGUGGUUAUUCCCAUUUAACAAGCUUAGUCUAAGAACAUGCAGAGUGGGAAUUGUUGUACAUGUGUUUCUUGUGCCAGUAUGCCUCAGAAAUCCACUUAAUUGCUAAAGUAAGCAUAACUAAGAUGGCAUUUCUUGCUUCUAGAAAUGAACGCUAGUGUACUAUUUGCUCAGUUUGCUUUUGUAGUGCCUUAGUGGUUUCUGAUUAGUUACAGCAGCACGUGAAACUGUUUCUGUCCUAAAUGCUCAGUUAUUGGAAGUCAAGUAGGAUAGGAGGCAGCCUUUUACCAGAGCUUCUGUUAAUGAAUGCUUAAUACCUCCUUUGGUAGGUAAACAGAGCGCAGAUCUUCUAUCAAAAUCAACACUACAUUAAUGCAGUCCUGCCGAACUGUGUGGCAAAGCAAGAGAUGAUGUGUUACAAGGCAGUAACCUGUCUGCACUGGUUUUGUGUGAUGUUGCUUGCAAAUCGGAGCUGCCAAGUUCUACUUCAUGUAUAUCUGUAUCUGCUGAAAGCAGGAGGAGUCCUGUGAUUACAGUGCAGCAAGGCCCAUGCAAGACCAUAGGAGAACUGGCUGGAGAGGAAAUAAGGGAGCAGUAAUGCAAAUGGUACUUCAGUUUCUUUUAAUAUGCUUCCUUGUAGGAGGCCAGUAAAAUGUUGUUUUCCAACAUUAGUAAAGUCUGGUUAUGAGAAGAACCAAACUGAAAGUGACCUGCAGAUAGCCUUCACAAAAGAUGGUAUGCUAACAGGGUGGGUGGUGAGUUUACACCAGAGGUGCCCUGUGAAAAACCUUAUUUCAGGUGCUCUGAACCAUUGCAAGUGCAUUUUCUUUCAGAAGGAUUUCCCAGGCGUACUUACUCUUCUCUUUCAGGGUUUACUGGGGAAGAGGAGUGGAUUCUGGGGACUGCAACAGAAACAAUUGUGCUGCUGGACUGACUACAGUUGUGCUGGAGAGCUGUUCUGAAUGAGCGUAGACAAUCAAAUGCUUCAUCAAAGCUGAAGUCCAGGUCAAAUUAUCUUCAGAGCAGAAAUAGACCAAAGAUGCCUCUCCCUUCUCCCUCCUCCCCCAAAUUAAAAAUCAGCUCCUAGGUGGAGGUCACAGUCAUCUUUGGAAGGUGUAACUCUCAGAUUUCCAAGUUUGGACCAUGUGGGCUAAACUCGAAGAAAUUCAGAAAGUCUGAGAAGAGUCUUCAGCCUCUGAAGCUGUUCUAUGUGUAUGUGCCACCACGUGCUCAGUUUUCAAUGGAUGCAAUGGAUGUAAGUCAUGACUCAUUGACACAAACCAGUAAUUUGCAUGCCAAAUUGAAAAACAGUGCCUGAAGACAAAUGCAUAGAGAACUGACCUCAGCCUAGAGAUCUGAUAAAGUAUGCUUAAAAAAACCCACACGUAUUCUUAGAAUCUCCCUGGAUUUUUGUGCUGCUGUUUCUGAGAUAGGUGGCUCCAGAUGACAGUUGGGUUACUGCUUUGCAAGACGUGUACUUCCAGUCUUACUGAAAUCCCAUUUCCCUAGAUAGUCUGUUUGUUCUGUUAUUUACAUUGCUGAUAACUGGUGAAUAGGCUUAAAACAGAAAAGCUGGUUUUGUAUCGAAUUAGGGCUUAAAAAAAUGCAGAUGUGAAGGAGGAGAUGAUACAAAACAUACAAUUUCUGAGGCCUUGGUGCAAAACUUGGAAUGUUUUCUUUUAAAUAUCUUUCAUUUUCCAGGAUCCGAAUGAGGAGCAGUCUCCUCUAGAAUGACUACAUAUCUGGAAUUGUUUUGAAUUCUUUGACUGACUUUAACAGCUUCUUUGGAAUAAUGUUAAUGUAAGCUACUUUUAUGGUAAUCUUGGGUGAGUUAAAACCUGUAAUGCCAUCUGCCUUGAUGGUUGAAUGGUGAAAUACAUACUCUCUUAAUGUUAUUAAAAGUCCACAGACUCAAGUCUGGUGAGACCAGAAUGGUAUGGAUUCCAACAACAACAACAACAAAGUGCUUUUCUUCAUUCUGUGUAUACCUUGGUGAGAUGGAAAGAAACUGACAUCUUUGCUCUUCCUCUGUGUUGUGUGGGGAUGUGGAGUAGAUUUGUGUAGGAAUUGACUCCUCCAAGGACUACAUGUUUUCUUUUUCUUUUGCUCAGCUUGGAUCUUCAGCUGCUUUUGCCUGUGGACUGGUCACACAUACCUUAAGGAGCUGCCUUUGUUGGCCUUGAAUUUUUAAACCCCCUGGUUUUCCUUAAAAUGUUAAGGGUUAUAGCGUAGCAGUAGGGCCCAGGGUGUAGAAGGGAGCAAAACGUUUCAGAGCAGGAGAGCUGGAGACUGUAGGCAUAGGAAAGAGCUGGAGUAUAGAGUAUUAGAGAAGGGGUGGCACUGAUAGCAGAGAGACCCUACUGUAAAGGUAGAUAUGGCUAAUAACACGUAGAGUACAAGGAAGGAUAAUAAAUCUGACAUCCUCAGCUUGUCUUUUUUUAAUGACAGUUUAAGCAUGGAAAACAGUAUAUUUUUUUAUGCCAAAGGAGCAAAAAACUGGUCACUUCACAGGUGAGGCAGUAACUGUGAGCUGCCCUGUAGGAUCUGUUGGAAGAAAGCCGGAGAAAUGACAAAAGCAAGGAAGCGGCAUGGGAAUGAUGAGCAGGUCAGCACACUGGAGAAGCAAAAUGAGGACAGUAGACGGGAAGGUAGAAGAAACAGUGAAAGAGGAGGCUGCAGCUGAAAAGGGGGGAAUUGUAAAAGGACACAGAAUUGUGGAGGAAAGAUAGACAGAAACAUGAAAUAAUGAAAGACUGCAGGUAAGCAACUUGUUCUCUGUGCCAAUCCUUCCUCUCUUCCUCCUGGACACGGCAGAACAAAACAUACUAGCAUGCAGUGGAGCACAGCAAUGAAAAAAUACACGCAAAAGAUGAACAGAUUGACUUCCCAAGUACUGUUGGCGUUCUUUAGUAAUGAUUUUUUUUUUCCGGAUCAUUUCUUUCUAUAUCAUGUACAAAGAAAAGACUCACUUUGCUUACCUUAAUGCAUUGAUUCGAAUCAAAUUCUCACCAAGAGCAUGAGCAGGUGAUAAAUUCUCUUGCUUUCAACUGUUUUUUGGAGUGAAGUUUGUAAAAAAUACCUUAUGUUGCUGGACUGUUGUCUGGGAGCUUUUCUCCUGCACUGCCUGAAAUACUGAAGUAUGUCAGAGGCUGUGUUUCUGCACAGCUUUGUAUGAUUCAAAGCUAACAGGCAGACUGCUCUGCAGCAGUAAUAUGAAAGGGAAGGUGGUUAUGUGACAAGAAAAUAUUGACAGUGUUUGGUUGCCUUGUUUAUAUCACUGGUUAACAGAAAAUAAGCACAGCAAGCAGUCAGAAAUGUUCCAUUUGGAUGUUAAAUGUGCACCUGGUGCAGAAGUGCCUCUACACGGCAGGAACCUGCAGGGCUUUGCACAGCUGUAAAGUUAAUGGACACUGAAUGCCUGGCUCUCCUUAACUAUUUCCACCUGCUUUGCCUGGCUCAUGCUCCUUUGAGUUCAGCUAAGCCAUCCUGAUUUGUAUUUGAUUAACUAAGAGGGAAUUAAGGCCCGUGUGUUUUCUCCCUUAAUCGUUUCUACAGUAUUCUGAGUUAACAUGAGAUAUUUGUUUGGGCAGUGUUUAUAUGUGAGGUUGGGAUGUCUCUCUGCUCCUCCUUCUUGUGUAUGUAGCCCCUGCUCGAAGCUAAUGAGUAACACUGGUAUAGCAGCCACAAACUCAUCAUGCAGAUUACUGUUUGAACCUGAGAUCAGUGCCAUGCUCUACAUCUUACUUCUCAUAUUCGCUGCUGGCGUUGUUACAGUAAUUAAUGGCACCCAGUCCUGAAAAAAAAAUGACCUCUCCUGUUCAUUAGGAAGUGAUUACCGUGAGGGGCUGCUAUUAAAUGAGCCGGCAUAGCUGCACUUAAUCAGACCAGCUGGACUGAAAGCAAGCAGGAGGGUUAAGCAAACAAACCGAAACGCAAGUGGGGCAAGUGAUGGAUCUGCUCCCUCAUAACUGGGAUAUUGCCAUGGAGUAGGUGCACUGAAAUGAACUGA
ensembl:lncRNA